rnacentral:rRNA from 1 species
UGGGGAAUUUUGGACAAUGGGCGAAAACCUGAUCCAGCAAUGCCGCGUGUGUGAAGAAGGCCUUCGGGUUGUAAAGCACUUUUUGUCCGGAAAGAAAUCCUUGGCUCUAAUACAGUCGGGGGAUGACGGUACCGGAAGAAUAAGCACCGGCUAACUACGUGCCAGCAGCCGCGGUAAUACGUAGGGUGCAAGCGUUAAUCGGAAUUACUGGGCGUAAAGCGUGCGCAGGCGGUUUGCUAAGACCGAUGUGAAAUCCCCGGGCUCAACCUGGGAACUGCAUUGGUGACUGGCAGGCUAGAGUAUGGCAGAGGGGGGUAAAUUCCACGUGUAGCAGUGAAAUGCGUAGAGAUGUGGAGGAAUACCGAUGGCGAAGGCAGCCCCCUGGGCCAAUACUGACGCUCAUGCACGAAAGCGUGGGGAGCAAAACAGGAUUAGAUACCCUGGUAGUCCACGCCCUAAACGAUGUCAACUAGUUGUUGGGGAUUCAUUCCUUAGUAACGUAGCUAACGCGUGAAGUUGACC